AGAGUUUGAUCCUGGCUCAGGAUGAACGCUAGCUACAGGCUUAACACAUGCAAGUCGAGGGGCAUCAGGAAGAAAGCUUGCUUCCUUUGCUGGCGACCGGCGCACGGGUGAGUAACACGUAUCCAACCUGCCCUUUACUCGGGGAUAGCCUUUCGAAAGAAAGAUUAAUACCCGAUGGCAUAAUGAUUCCGCAUGGUUUCAUUAUUAAAGGAUUCCGGUAAAGGAUGGGGAUGCGUUCCAUUAGGUUGUUGGUGAGGUAACGGCUCACCAAGCCUUCGAUGGAUAGGGGUUCUGAGAGGAAGGUCCCCCACAUUGGAACUGAGACACGGUCCAAACUCCUACGGGAGGCAGCAGUGAGGAAUAUUGGUCAAUGGGCGCUAGCCUGAACCAGCCAAGUAGCGUGAAGGAUGAAGGCUCUAUGGGUCGUAAACUUCUUUUAUAUAAGAAUAAAGUGCAGUAUGUAUACUGUUUUGUAUGUAUUAUAUGAAUAAGGAUCGGCUAACUCCGUGCCAGCAGCCGCGGUAAUACGGAGGAUCCGAGCGUUAUCCGGAUUUAUUGGGUUUAAAGGGAGCGUAGGUGGACUGGUAAGUCAGUUGUGAAAGUUUGCGGCUCAACCGUAAAAUUGCAGUUGAUACUGUCAGUCUUGAGUACAGUAGAGGUGGGCGGAAUUCGUGGUGUAGCGGUGAAAUGCUUAGAUAUCACGAAGAACUCCGAUUGCGAAGGCAGCUCACUGGACUGCAACUGACACUGAUGCUCGAAAGUGUGGGUAUCAAACAGGAUUAGAUACCCUGGUAGUCCACACAGUAAACGAUGAAUACUCGCUGUUUGCGAUAUACAGUAAGCGGCCAAGCGAAAGCAUUAAGUAUUCCACCUGGGGAGUACGCCGGCAACGGUGAAACUCAAAGGAAUUGACGGGGGCCCGCACAAGCGGAGGAACAUGUGGUUUAAUUCGAUGAUACGCGAGGAACCUUACCCGGGCUUAAAUUGCAGUGGAAUGAUGUGGAAACAUGUCAGUGAGCAAUCACCGCUGUGAAGGUGCUGCAUGGUUGUCGUCAGCUCGUGCCGUGAGGUGUCGGCUUAAGUGCCAUAACGAGCGCAACCCUUAUCUUUAGUUACUAACAGGUCAUGCUGAGGACUCUGGAGAGACUGCCGUCGUAAGAUGUGAGGAAGGUGGGGAUGACGUCAAAUCAGCACGGCCCUUACGUCCGGGGCUACACACGUGUUACAAUGGGGGGUACAGAAGGCAGCUAGCGGGUGACCGUAUGCUAAUCCCAAAAGCCUCUCUCAGUUCGGAUCGAAGUCUGCAACCCGACUUCGUGAAGCUGGAUUCGCUAGUAAUCGCGCAUCAGCCACGGCGCGGUGAAUACGUUCCCGGGCCUUGUACACACCGCCCGUCAAGCCAUGGGAGCCGGGGGUACCUGAAGUACGUAACCGCAAGGAUCGUCCUAGGGUAAAACUGGUGACUGGGGCUAAGUCGUAACAAGGUAGCC
rnacentral:rRNA from 1 species